rnacentral:rRNA from 1 species
AAGCGGAGGAAAAGAAACCAACAGGGAUUGCCUCAGUAACGGCGAGUGAAGCGGCAAAAGCUCAAAUUUGAAACCCUCGGGAUUGUAAUUUGAAGAUUUGGCAUUGGAGAAAGCUAACCCAAGUUGCUUGGAAUAGUACGUCAUAGAGGGUGACAACCCCGUCUGGCUAACCGUUCUCCAUGUAUUGCCUUAUCAAAGAGUCGAGUUGUUUGGGAAUGCAGCUCAAAGUGGGUGGUAAACUCCAUCUAAAGCUAAAUACUGGUGAGAGACCGAUAGCGAACAAGUACUGUGAAGGAAAGGUGAAAAGAACUUUGAAAAGAGAGUGAAAUAGUAUGUGAAAUUGUUGAUAGGGAAGGAAAUGAGUGGAGAGUGGCCGAGGUUUCAGCCGCCCCUCGUGGGCGGUGUACUGCCGACGCCGAGUCAUCGAUAGCGAGACGAGGGUUACAAAUGGGAGCGCCUUUCGGGCGUUCUCCCCUAACCCUCCACACUGCCACCGACGACAUAAUCCACCCAUUUCACCCGUCUUGAAACACGGACC